rnacentral:lncRNA from 1 species
AACCACAUUUCAUAACCUCUGGAGUCGGGGAAAUGAGAGUACAUUGUUGUUUUAAUGAUGCUAUGUUUGUUGGUCAGUCAAAUUAAUGAUUUGUGUUAAAACCUAUGCAGAACCAUUUGGUGGCAGUGGAAAAUUGGGUGUUGUGCCGCAUAUUUUUGAAGAAAAGAAGUGGUGCUACUAAAAGAGAGGAUGACGGCCUGCAAUGUUGCAACAAGAAGGGAGUUGGUAAAGCAAGGAGAAAGAGCCCUGUUUUCUAUGAAUUCCUGAGCAAGGAGAGGACAGACCUAAAGCUUGCCCCAGCAUCCUCCUCAUCUUGCUCCAGUGGGAUCACACAGGUGUCAAAUGAUAACGCGGAUGACCAUGAAGAAAGCAGUAGUUGCAAUAGUUUUCCUUAUUUUAGAAGAAAACCUUAAACAUCCACACUUUCACACUUUUUUGUUUUCUUGCCUAUAUCAGUAGUUGGGCUUUGAUUAGCCCUUCAGAAUAAUAACCUCUUUAAAGAAAAAGCAAUCAAGUGUUUGGUAAUUUCAAGUCUUUGGGUCUCUUUUGUCUGUGAUUACCACGCAGCAGAAAUAGUUGUCAACAGAAACCCCAAAAAAAGUUAUUAAAGAAAGCAAUAUAUGGUUGUGCACGCAGUAAAUAUUACCUAAAGAGCAAACUUUCUUGAGCACAUGGCGGUUCCCCUUGUAAUUAAUCAAAAGCUAAAGACAUAUUACCCUCUUUUCUUAUACAUUUUACAAAAGUCAUCGUGAAACGGGCUAUGGUUCAAGUUCAACAUUGCUUUUGUAGAUGAACAUGCAGAGCAAAGUCCCUUUAGGAAAAGGCAAAUAGUUUUGAGAGAAGAAAAAUGCAUACAAAUCUCAGGAAAAAUAAAAAGGCAUAUUUAUAUAGGAGAAUAUUUGAGGCACUGUUAAUGCAUAAAUUUUAUACACUAUUGAUAAAUAAUAACGUGACACUCAUAAUUAAAUAAAAAAUAAAAAAAAGUAAUAAAUCUUUUCUACGUAUAAGUAUUUUGACUUUCGCAAAAGCAAAACGCGUUUUGGGAGAGCACCGCAAAGAAUAAGCAUAGGAUUGUUGGAAAUCAGCAUUUGCACGAUCCAAGCUCCAGGAAGGGUGUUAUCGGUUGAAAAAGAACCCAAUUCUCCUCUCUAUUAUUUCACAAUGGAUCGAAUCUCCAAAAACUCUGAGCUGGCUUCAUAUUCUUAUCUUCCUAUAUACUCCAUCUAGUAUAAUGGGUUUAUAAAAAAUGAAAAGCAUCAAUUUCUAUAGUUAGAAGCAGACAUUCUGAGCUUGAUUUUCUCAGCACUUGUAACUACUGUCGCAUACUCAAAUAAAAUAUAUAAAAAAAAUACACGAAAAUGAGUAGAUCUGAGGUUGCAAGAAAAACAGGGUUAUCUAAAUUCGGAAUAAACAUGACAUGACUAGUAGGUGGAAGAUGGCGGAGUUCGACCGACAGUCCAAUCCAACUGUCCUCCCUAAUCCUCCAUCUCCCUCUUAUUACCUUUUAGUUGUGGGUUAGCAUAUGAUAUUUUGGGGCACUCUUGCGAACAUUAUGCUGUUAAUCAUCCUCGGUCAUAUUACAACUUAUGAAGUAUUCCUUGAACGUAAAGAAAACGUAAGUAAACACCCUUUUUUCUAGUUUCUAUAUCGACCCUUCACGCAUUUCAAAUUCUUGUUUCUCAAGUCCAGCACAUAUAGCAAGCCAACAGCAAAAGGGUGGGGGGUUUUAACAAUAUCACUGUCCACCUAGCCUUGCAGUUUGACUCUAUUAACAAACAAUAUACAUAGUUGACAUUAACAUUCAAUGUCAAGUUAAUCUCAAUUUGUUAGAUUUAAUCUGAAUUGUAGGAGUUCUUAGUCCAUUUGUGCUGUGAUGUUUUGAUAACUAUUUAAAUAAUUUAUUUGUAAUGAUUUAAUAUUUGUAAAAGACAUAGAAUGCACACCUUAAUUCUUAGUAUUUACAUCAUUAUUAGUUAUGAAUAAAGGGGAUUUAAGGUUAUCAUAAACGUGAGAGGUUAAAAAGUGGGACAUGGAGCAUUACAUAAUUGACGAGUGGAUGCGAGAUAGACUUAAGACGGCAUACAUUACACCUUCAUUAUCGUCCAUAAUUGACCCAAUAAAUAAAUAAAAAUAUGCCGACCAGAGUUUCGUAUGACCAUGGUUUUACAACUAGCUCUUCACGUCAUUUUUGUCUACGAAAAUGUUUUAUUUUAAUGAGAAAAAAGAGAAAAGAGGUUAAGCCAAAAAAAAAAACAAAUGCUGAAGCCAAAGAACAUAAUUUAUUGUGGGAGAGAUUAAAAUAAAGAGAGGUUAGCACAAAGAGACAUUUCCCACUUAACAUCAUAUUUUACUCAAAACACAAUAAUUGCAGCCUUUGACUCUGUACAAAAGGAAAAAAUAUAAAAAAAAAAAGGCAAAGCAAAAGAAAGAAAAUGGAAGUUUGGGUCACGAAACCCAACUUUUCUUUCCAUACUAAUUAUUUAUACAAGUGAGGUGGGAGAGCAUUUGCUUGUGGGAAUCUCUUUUUUUCCUUAUAAUAUAUUAAAUUAAAUUAUCAAAUUUCCAAUUCAAUACUAUAAAUUUGUGGGAAAGGAGUUUUCCCUUCUCCCUACGGAACCAGGCUUUGUCAAUGUUUGAGGCUCCGGUUUCACUUCAACUGUCCCACCCUUGCCCCCUUGCUCCUUUCUUUUCCCUAAACUAACCUCACAUUUUCUUCAAUACUUCAAUACUGCCAUCUCUUUCUCACUAAUAAUAAUAAAAGUUAUAAUUACUUGUACAAUUCAUUGCAUUAUCCACCUUGAGAAUUUAUUUUAUUAUACCUAUAAGUAAAUCCAUACAUAUCAUCCAGUAUAUAUAUUGGAUUACCGACUAAAUUUAAUGCAUGCUGAAAUUAAAUUAUACCUUGUCCUGGGGAAAGGUUUCAUUGAAUCAAAAAGGGUGAUUGAAGUUGGCUUUACCGAUGGGGAUUUCUCCUUUCUUGAAGGCGAUAUCAAGAAGUAGGUGGUUAACGGUAUCCUCGCUAUUGAUUUUUCUGAUAGAGUUCACAAACUCUUAGUCAAUGACAUGUCCACCUCUGUAGUUAUUAAGCUCUUGGGGAGGAAUAUUGGUUUUGCGGCUCUACAAAAUAAGGUUUAUGGACUAUGAAGACCGUCUCAACCUUUUCAGGUAAUGGAUAUAGAAAAUGGCCAUUUCUUAGCCAAGUUCCAAAAUUCUGAUGAUUAUGAAAAGGUUCUAUCACAGGGACCUUAGCUUAUUUUCGGGCAAUAUCUAACAAUACAACCCGGACAAUUGAAUUUAACCUUGCAAAUUAUUGUCCUAGUAUUGUUCUUGCCUGGAUUAGAUUCCCAAGACUUCCUAGCUAUCUCUAUAAAAAGGAGGUUUUAUGGGAAACUGGGAGAAUGGUUGGGAAGGUGACCAAAUUGGAUUUCAAUACAUACAGUAGAACAAGAGGAAGAUAUGCGCUUAUGGAAGUUUAUAUCAAUUUGGAAAAACCAUUGAUUUCACAAGUUGUAAUAAAUAAGAAUCUCCAACAUAUUGAGUAUAAAAGUGCAACAGCCCGUUUUCAGUGAAAUCGGAACAGUAGUUUCGGGACCACAAAUUUGAAGUUAGAAAAUUUAUAUUGUCGAAACCAUUUUUUUGAAAACAAAAAUUAGUUGUUGAUUAAAAAUAAAAAUUGGAGUCGCCAUCGAUCCUUUAUUGAGGUGUGUUUAACCCACCUUAAAAACGAUUUUGGUCUGCGAAAUUUGAGAAAACAGAUUCGGGAGUCAGUUACGCACGAGGAAGGGUUAGCACCCUCGUAACGCCCAAAAUCGGUACCAAAUUGAUUGUUUAAUGUCUUGGUGUCGAAAAGUUGAAAAGAUUUUAAAAGAAAACUUUUUAUCUUGAAUGAAUUUUAAAAAAAAACGUUCUUAUUUCAAAGAAUUUAAACGUCACACCCAGUAAGUUAGGGCGCAACAUUUUCAAUCUUCAAAAUUAAGUUUGUCUUUUGAUUUUUAAAACUCAUGCAUUUAAACCUAAGAAGGAUAUUUGGUUAUUUAAGUCAAAUGAAAAAAAUCGAAACCCAAUAAGUUAGGGCACAAUUUCUCAAAAUUCCAAAUAACGAAUAUUGCCUUUAUUUAUUUAUUUUUAGAAAUUCUUAUCUCGAGAUAACAAAAUGUUAUGCUCAGUGAGUUAGAACUCAACAUUUUUGAAUUCCCGAGAAUAAGCUUUUAUUUGAAUCCAUGUUAUUUUAUUGCAAAAUAAAUACUUGGCUCUCUAAAUUCAUCGAAAGAAUCGAAGCCCAGUAAGUUAGAACACGAUCCUUCUUGAAAAAUGUGAAUGCCAAAUAUUUUAAAAUUUAAGAAAGAAAAUGAUUUUCAUGCUUCAAUAAAAAAACAUUUUUUUAAAAAAACAAAUAUACAAACAUAUUUUAAAAUGCUAAAGAGAAUAGCACGAGCAACAAUCCAAUAAAGGAUAAAAUAAAAUAAAAUAAAGCAACAUAAAAUAAAAACAAGUCAACUAAUGUAAAAAAAAAAAACAGUGAUAAAUGAGUUGAAUUAAAAUGCUUUUGUAAUUAAAUGGGUAUAAAAAGAUAGACAUUUUGCGAAACAAUAAAACCAUAAGGUAUAUGAAAAUUUUAAUAUACAUAUGUAUGUGUAUGUACAUAAAAUAUGAGGAAUAUAUGUAGGUAUACAUAUUUUAAAAUUAUGAAACAAAAAUAUAUGUAAGUAAGUAUGUUUAUAAAUACGUUUAUAAAAAUUAUGAUAUAUAGAAGUAUAUAAAAGUAUGCGUAUCUUAAGAUAUGUGCAUAUAUAUUUACAAAAUAUAUAAAAAUGUAUAAGUAUAUUAUAUAAAUAAACUAUGAAAAUAUCUAUAUAUAUGUAAAAAUAUGUAUGUAUAUAAAUAUAUAUAAAAAUAAAAUAUAUAUAUAUAAAAAUAUGUAUAUAUUUAUAAUACUUUUUUAAAAAAAAAAACGUGUACAUAUAUUAUAGAAAAUGUAUGUAUAUAAAAUAUAGAAAAUGUAUAUGUAUUAUAAAAUAUAAAUACAUGUAUAUAAUAUAUAGUAUAUAUGCGUAUAUUAUAAAAAGUAUGCAUAAAUACAUGGCUAUAAUAAUAAUAAUAAUAAUAAUAAUAAUAAUAAUAAUAAUAAUAAUAAUAAUAAUAAUAAUAAGAUCGAUAGUAAAAAUAAUUAAUUUAAUAAUAAAUAACUAAAAACAAAUAGAGGACUAAAUUGAAACGAAAAUAAAUCAGGUGGUUAAAUUCAAAAGAAAUAAAAAAGUUUAAACAGAUUUUGAAAAACAAAGGGGAUCAAACGCGCGAAUAGACCAUUUAAAAAUAAGAGCGCGGAUCCUUCCAGGGUUGGAUCGGGUUGCGGGUAAUUCGAGCCAAUACGACACCGUUUUGGGAGCCAUUGAUUCAGGCCCCAAACGACGUUGUUUAAACGCCCAAUAAGAACCCCUUUCGAAACCCUAAAAUCAUUAUCCCCUCUGCCAUUUCUCGAAUGCGCCGCGGCUCUCCCCCUUUUCUCCGUCAUUUGGGUCCCCUUUUCCAACCAUCUACGGCGACGUGAGGGCACUCUGAUGUCGUCCCGAUGGUAAGUUUCCUCUCUACUCCUUCCCCCCGUUUAUUUGUUUUAAAAAAACAGAGCCAAAAUGAAAAUAAAAGACAGUAAAAAGAAAAGAGGAAAAAAAGCGAUUGGUCACCUUCAAAAAAAAUAUUUUUUUUAUUCCUUGCUUCUGUGUUUUCCAACCCGAUUGUGCAACCCCUUUACAAAAAUCGAUUGGCUAUUUAUACAAGAAUCUUUACAAUUUUUCUUUUGUUGUAUCCCCCCGGUCUUACUAGUGCCGUUCGUGAUUUAUUUGUUGCAAGUACGUGGAAACGGUGAGGCCGCCAGACGUGGGUGAGGCGACGUGGACAAUUGCUGCGGAGGGAGAACAUGCGCGGCGCUGGGGGAGAAGGGUUAGGGUUUCUGGAAACAGUUUAGAAUUAGGUUAAUUGGGUUAGGCUAGAUUUGGGCUUGGGUUAAUGGGCUAUUAAUUUUAAAUUUGGGUCUCUGAAGCUUUAGGCUAAUUGGGCCUUAUAAUUGGACAAAACUUGUAAAUGGUUUUGGGCUGCUGUAAUAUGGACUGUUAUUUAUAUUUGGUUUUUUAGCCAGGCCAAAAUUGGCCUAUUACAUAUAUUAUAAUUAUUUUAUGUUCUACUGUAUGAUAGAAAUAUAGUAUAAAAAUUUCGUUAAGAAAUUUUAUCGUUUACAUACCUAAUUUGAUGAAAAAGACUAAAUUGCAUUAAGUGUAAAAGUUGAGUUAUAAUAGCUAAAGGUAUUAAAUAGCUAUAGAAUUUGAAAAUUGAGGUCCUUAUAUAGUACCUAGACCAUUAAAGUGCUUAGUGGUUAAGCAUGAGUAGUCAUCAUUGAAAAUUUAAUAAAUUAUUAAGGGUAAUUUUGGAAAUUACUGGGUAAAGUGAUAUUAAAUAAAAUAAAAAAAUCUAUUAUCAUCAUUUACCACCAAAAAAAAAGGAGAGAGAACCUAGCCAUGGAAGCUUGAGAUAUUAGCAAGCUUAUUUUGCUCAAUUAGGUAUGUAUCAUUGUCCCCUUUUUUUAUGAUUUUUAUGUUUUCGAGAUCGUAAUAGCUUAAUCUAGCUAACUCAGUGAUUAAUUUGCAAAAUCGUUAAAGUAUUAGGGUUUUGUAAUUGAUGAGUAUGCUUGAAUUUUUAAGCUUUAUGAUAGAAAAUGAAAGGUUGUUGUUAGAUAAACAACUUUUGUAAAGAGAAUUUUGAUGAAAUUAUCAAUUAGGGAUUAAAUUGAAAAAGAUGAUAAAUUUAUGGUAAAAUUGUGAAUUUUUAUGAAAUAUAUGGGCUGCUAUUAAUAGGUAUAAAAAUUGGCUAGGCUUGAGUAAAGAUUAAAUUGUGUGAAUUUCAUUUUCUAAGACCAGGGACUAAAUUACAAUGAAUUAAAAGUAUAGGGACAAAAUAAUAAAUUUUGCCAAAAAUGUGUGUUAGACUAAAUUUGAAUUGAGUUAAAUUCAUUCAUAUAGAUCCGGUUAGACCUAGUAUGGAGUUAGAUCGAGGUAAAGAAAAAAUUAUCGAAUUAGUCACCUUUGUAUCUACAUAAACUCAUCAAUGUAAGUUCGUGUAAUUAAAUUGUACAUUAAUAUAUGUUAAAUUGAAUUAUUGUUUGUGAAUUGUACAAUUGCCAUGAAUAAAUAUCGGUUGCAUAUUCGACGAUUAUCGAGUCCCGUUUGAACCUUACGAAAUUCGUAGGAUACAAAUGACAUGUCAUUAGGGUUACCGAUUUGGUUGGGGUCCUGUAUGUGUUGCGGACACACUACAGCUCGUAUGAGCAUACAUGAAUAUGAAUUGAUGGAUUACAGUUCAGUACACCUCGUGUGUACUACUCGUGUAUCCAACAACAUUUUAAAUGGUUUAACGAGCACAGUUCUGUAUGAAAUCAUAUGAGUUUGAUAUGAACUAUUACCGGUAUAUAUACGAAAUACAUGAAAUAUGAUUAUUUGAUGAAUUCCACCAUGUGUGUUGGAUUUUAUAUGUGAUUUUCAUGGCUAAUAUGUUGAUGAAGAUGUGUUUAGGCUUUUGGCCAAACUGAUUGAGAUAUGCUAUGCUUACUUACCUAUUUUGUGGAAAUAUGGUAAGUUAUAUUUUGUAUUAUACGAACUUACUAAGCUUAAAUGCUUACUCUAUGUUAUUUUUCUUGUUUUAUAGUAAUUCGAAAGCUCAUUUGGGUUGAAAGAUGGUCGGAGCUAUUUCACACUAUUCAUCGGCUAUUUCGGUACUUUCAGUAAAUUAAUUUCGGUUAUAAUAGCAUGUAUAGGAUAUUUUGGCCAAUGUUGGUAUAUAAAUGUUUUGUUGAGACAAGCCAUUUGAAUGGCUCGUGUUUGAUAUAUUUUGAUGUGUUUAUUUAUGUGGCCUUAACAUAUUUAAUGUGUGUUUGAUAUGGUUGAAUGAUGGAAAACUUAUAGGUAUAUUGAUUAUUGGUUUAAAAUAGUAUAUUUGGUACAAUUAUGCAUAUAUGCAUUUGGUUAUCUAGGUAAAUAUGGAUAUUGGUUGCAUGUUGUGAUAAUACAUGUUUAAGACUUGACUUUAGCUUGAUUUGAAUGUCUUGUUAUGGCUUGUUGAUAUGCAAAUUGUUGUGUUUAGGUUGGUACCAAAUUUGGCGAGAAAUGUGGCUUGGAAAUGACCUAUUUUUGUCUACAUGGGCAGAGACACGGGCGUUUGUCUCAGCCGUGUGUGAGUAUCUUUUAAAUUGUGCAAGUCAGUAUGCUUAACACUGCCUAGCACACGGGCGUGUGACUUGGCCGUGUGGCCUAAGUCAGAGAGUUACACGAACAUGAGCUGGGACACGACCGUGUGUCCUUAUUUCGAAUGCCCACAUGGCCUAAGACAUGAGCGUGUCUCUUAGCCGUAUGAAUCACACAGCCUGGCCACACGGUCGUAUGUCCCCUGCAAUUUUGAAAAAUUUCAAUGUUUUUCAAAAAAAAUUUAGUACACGAUCUAGUCCUGACUUGUUUCUAACGUGUAUUUUGGGCCUCGAUGGCUCAUAUAAGGGACAAUAUAUUUGAUUUCGAUUGAUUUAUGAUAUGAAUGUUAUAUUAUAUGAAAUGUUUAAUUAAUUGAUCUGUGAACUUCGGUAAUGUUUCGUAACCCUAUUUCGGCAAUAUAUACGGGUUAGGGGUGUUACAAAAAGUCUAUCGAUGGUGUGUUUCUCAUGUGGACGAUAUGGCCACUCUAAAAAAGUUUGGUCGCAAGGUUCAAUAGUAGUGGAUUCAUCGAGGGAGAAAGAUUUGAUGAUUGGAAUCUCUUCCGCGACUUUUGGUUCAAUGGUCGGUACAGACGAGUUUGACCCUUGGAUGCUGGUGGAGAGGAAGACUAGGCAUAACGUGAGCACAACAACUUUGGUAAGUCUGGAAAUACGAAGAAAUCUUCAAGAUCAUGAUUUAAUGCUUUAACUUCUCUAAAUAUGGAUAAGUUGGGGAGUGAUUUAGGGAAUGAUGAUAAUUUUAUGGGUUCGAAAAGGCAUAGGAAAGAAAUAAUGAAUGUUAAUUCUGGAUUUUAUCAGGGAGAAAAAAAACCAGAUAUUGGGCUUAGAAUAGAGUAUGUGGGGAUUUUAAUUAAUGAUAAUAGUUUAGUCUAACGUGAAUGGUCCAAACCCAUUGUCUCUAAAAAGAGCUCAAGUUGUUUGGAUGGGAAGGUAUUGGGCAGAGUAAAGGGACUGGAUAUGCACUAGGGCCUGGUGGGGAUUUCGCUGAUCUAUUGGAAGGUAGGAGUAUCUGCAUUUCUUAGAGCUCUGGUAGGAAGAUCCAAGAGAUUGUUGGGCUGAAGGAGACUGGUUCUGUAGUUCCUUCUGAUGUUCUUGGUCGGAGAGUUGGUGGGACGGGAGACAUGGUGACCUUUAUUCCCACAAGCUUCAGUAAUAAAAGCUCCCUUCAUUUUACCUAGCGCUUGAAGACUUGUCACCAAUGCAUAUUGUUGUGAAUUAAAGGGUUCUUGACACUAAAAAAGAAAUAACUGUUGUUUUCCAAGAAAAUUCAAACCCAAAUUUGACUAAAGUGCACGUCAAUAAUGAAGCAUUUAAAUCGGGAAUGUCUUUUAUUCCAAUUAAAGGUUAGGAUAGUGGAGGAAAAGUCAUAGGUUCUAAAAGAGGUUGGAAGAUUAACAAAACUCUAAAAGGGUUAAGUAAUCGGUUUAAAGUAUUGGGUAGUUCACGGGUUUCUCUUGUCGGGUCUAUGUUGUUGGCAACGGAUCUCAUCUCUUCUGAACUAGAUGGGCAAGUCAUCAAAAAGAGAGUGAUGGAAGGGAAGGAUGGACCAGAAUGUGUUAUUAUUGGUCAGCAGUAAAUAUGGUUUUUUUUCUAUUUUUAUUAUGAAUUUAUCUAUUCAAUCUUGGAAUGUGCAGGGGUGUGCGAAUUCGAAAUUCCCACGAAUCUUGCAGAGUAUAGUAAUGAGUACAAACCGAACAUUAUGAAUUUGCUUGAGUCGAGAAUAGUGGUUUUAAAGUUGAUGCUAUCAUUGCCAAAUUGGGGCUAAAAAUGUCUCAUCGAGUGGAAGUGGUUGGUUUCUCUAGAGGUAUUUGGUUAGGAUGGAAGAAGACUAUUGAUGUUGAGGUGAUUGGGAAUCAUCCCCAAUUUUUUUUUUUUGUAUUUGUCUAUUCUUCAGUCACAACUAAUUUUUGUUGCUUUUGUGUAUGGUAGUCUUGAUAGAUAAAAAAAAGGCUUCUUUGGAAGGAUUUGAGGUUAUAUAUUCCUUCAGGGCAUUUUCCUUGGAUGGUUAUUGGGGAUUUUAACGCUAUUCUCUUGGUAGAGGAAAAGAAAGGUGGUCAAGUGGCAAGUCAGACAUGUUCAUUUUUUGGUGAGUUUGUGGAUAGAACUAAAGUUCAUGAUUUGGGAUUUAAAGGAUCUCCUUUCGCUUGGCAUCAUGGUGCACUUUUUGAGAGGUUGGAUCAGGCUCUAGGUAAUGAUGCUUAGGUAGAGGUUUUUACUGCUUGGUGACAUAUCUUCUAAGAAUUAAACUAGACUUCAGACCUAUUCUUAUCUUAUUACAGUCGAAUUUCAAUUUACCAAAAGGUAUGCUCUUUCAAUUUUUAGUUGGGUGGUUGGAACAUUUGAAUUUCCCAGAGAUUGUUUUAGAUAAUUGGAGUUUUGAUAGUGACAUGUUAGGCACUCUAACUCGAUUCACAGGCAAACUUAGAGACUAUGAUAAUACUCUAAAAUGCCAUACUUUUAUGUGUUAAUUACAUAUAUAUUUUGAGUAUGAUCCAACUAGUUUGGGCUUUUAUGGUUUUUUUUUAUCUUGUAGGGACUAAAUUAAAGGCAAAAAAAAGUUUGGGAGCAAAAAGCGUGAAUUUAAAAACAAAAUGGGUCAGCAUGCAAAAUAGGGAAGAAGUGGUGUCGGAAAUACAAAGUGUGAAAGACUUGGGGCAAAAAUUUAAAGAAGAGAUUUAUGAACAGAAGACUUUAUUUAAAUUCAAAUUUUAUUUUUAGGAUUAUUAUUAGGAUUAUUAUGAUAUUAUUUAGAUUUAAUUUCAAAUUAUAUCUUUAUUUAUCUUUUAGUGUUUAAGUAGGAAUAAACUAGGUUUUCUGUGUAUAAUAAAUAGGGGAUGGAGUGACAUGAAUAUUCACUCAUCAUUUCUAUAAAAAACACCUUCCCCCUAAAGCUCUUAGCCUUUUUGUUCCUUUUAUUUUUCAAUAAAAUUUCAUUCCUUUAAACUUAUUUCUUUUUUACUAAAAAACGCAAGCCACUAAACUCAUCUAGCCGAAGGUUAUCAAGACUCCUCCAAAAGAGUUCAUGAGGCUUAGAAUCCUCACUUAUCCUUCUCAAUGAGUAUUCAUCAUUUCUCCGUAUUAUGAAACUGAUGCUUCUGUCCAUGUCCUUCCAAAAGUAAUCUUUUCAUCCUAUGCAAGGAACGACCGCUUAUAUGUUUUGAGAAGGCUACUUAGUCAAUUCGUUAACUUUCUACGUCAGAAUUUGUCGAGUCAAAGAGACAAAAUAGUGUGGCAUUCGCCAUUGAAAAAUGAUGAUCUAGUGUAAGACAGUUCCACAAAAGUGACGGUUGGCUAGAGCCAAGUUCCUCUAUAUCGUAAGGCUAUAAUCUAAGUGGAACUAGUGGUCGUAAGUGUCCUCUUCCACUAUAAUUGGCUUAUUCAAUCAUGAGAAGGAUCACCUAAAAGCUGAUGAUUGAACCAAAAGAGGAUCGAGAUAACCAGAGGUUGGAAUCCCAAAAAUCGAAUAAUGUAUUUCCUUAACUUUGUUUUUUUUUACAAUUGCAUUUUCAAUUUAUACAAUUUCAAUUCAUCCCUACUUUUAAUUCUGUUCUUUUUAUUUUAUUUUCUCUCAAGUCAGACAUUUUUCUUGGGCACGACUAUGCCCAGGAUUUAGAGGAACAAGAAGUUGUAGCAAUCUAGUCCCUUAGGAUUUGACCCUACUUCCAUUAUACUAUUCUUUACGUUAUUUCUUAGGGAUAGGUUAUUUUUUGUGCUUUCAACGACACACCAGACAAGAACAAAUGUGUUUAUGGCCAUAUCAAUACUCGUAAAAGACAGUUGAUUCAUAAGUUGGUUGGUAGGGAUGAGCAAAACUCGAUUCGACUCGAAAAAAUUGAAAAAAAAUUUGAAUUUCGAGUUAAACGAAUCGAGUUAUUCGAGUUAAUCGAGUUAUUCGAAUCAACUCGAAUUUUUUUUUCGAAUUUCGAGUUCGAAUCGAGUUGAGUUUUCGAAUUCGAAUAACUCGAAUAAUUCGAAUAUCAAACUAUAAUAUUUUACAUUUUUACCCCAAACUCCCAAACCUUUUUACUUUUCCCUCAAAACUUUUACUCCUUCCCACUUUCCCCCCAAAACUUUUACUCCCCUCCCCUCCCAACCCCCCAAUCUACCCAAAAUCCAUUUCCCACCAAAAUUUUACUCUCCCAUUUAUUUUUUCUCAAAAUUUUACUCCCAAAAACCGUCAAAACUUUUAUUUUCCCCAAAAAAUUUUACUCCCUCCCACUUUUCCCCUAAAACUUUUAUUCCCUUCCCAUCCCACCUCCCAUCUAUCCCAAACCCUCCCCCCUCCAAUUUUUUUUUUAAUAUUUUCUCUCCAAAAUUUUACUCCCCCCUAUUUACUUUCUCUCAAACUUUUAUUUCCCAAAACUUUUUAUUUUUCCCCUAAACUUUUACUUCUCACCAUUUACUCUCAAAUAAAAAAUCAAAAUUAUCUUAAAAAAAAUCACUAAACAUAAAUAGUAAUAAUUUUAUUUAUAUCUACUAUUUAUAUUAUUAAAUUAAAUUUCACAUUUUAUAUUAUUUAUAUUAUUGAAUUGUUUAGUCAUAUUGAAUAUUUAUAUUAAAAUUGAAUUAUUAAUUAUACCAUAAAAUAUUCGUGUUAAAAUUUUAUAUUGGUAUCAAUUUCACAUUUUAUUUUCAAAAUAAUUUUUAUUAAAAAAUUAUAUUUUUAUUGAAACAACUAAGCAAGCAAAGAAGCUAACCAAUAUAUAAAAAAUUAAUAAAUAAAUUAUGAAGUGAUGAAAGUUAAUAAAAAAUUUGAUUAAUGUGGACAAAUUUUAUUACGAUGGGUGACAAUGGUUACAAUGACCCAAAAUUAUUUUUUAAAAUUUAACUCGAACAAAUAUAUUCGAUUAGAUUCUAUUCAAAUUUCAUCUCACUUGACUCGAUUCUAGAAAACUUCAAAUAAAGUUAGGAUGAUAAAAUGAGAUUCGAAAACUCGAUUAACUCGAAAAUUUUCGUUUCGAUUCGAUUCGAUUCGAUCGAAUGCUCACCCCUAUUGGUUGGUAUUCAACAGGCCAUGGAUCUUUUUAGUUCUAAUAGUUUGGCACAGCUCGAAUUAAAAACUCUAGAGGAGUUGGAAGAUGUCUUUUAUCAUGAAGAAUUGCUUUGGAAGCAGAACUCGAAACGUGAUUGGUUGAGCGUGAGGGAGUGUAAUACUAAAUAUUUUCAUAAACAAACGAUUCAAAAAAGAAAUUAAAAUAAUAUAAUUGUCUUGUACAAUUCAGACGGUGAAUGAAUUUUUGAGCCCGAAGCUUUACAAUUAGAGGUUGUCGCAUUCUUUUAAAAGUUGUAGGGUGAGGUUCUUGGCCCUAUAGGGAGUUUGCCUCCAAGUGGUUUUGAGUAGCUUGAGACAAAAUAUAUUGAUUUUCUUGGAAGACCAGUAUUAGAAUAUGAGAUUAAAAGCACUAUUUUUUACAUGGCCUCCCUAAAGGCACUAGGUAGUAAUGGCUUUCAUGCUUUAUUUUUCAAAAACAAUGGGAUGUUAUUGGAGGGACAAUCUGUGAUUGGGUAAGGAAGAUCUUUUAUGGUAGUACUAUAUAUUCAGAGCUAAACAAUACUCUUAUUGUUUUAAUACCUAAAGUUUCGAAUCCAAAAAAUUUUAUGCAAUUUCGCCCAAUCAAUCUCUAUUUUGUUUUAAACAAGCUGGUUAUGAAGGUGAUAGCGAAUUGUUUCAAAAUUGUUUUUCCCGAGAUCAUUGGCUAAGAGCAAGCAAGGUUUAUUGCAAGCAAGAAUAUUAUUGACAACGUUGUAAUAGCGCAAGAAGUGUUGCAUUCCAUGAAAAGUAAGGGUACAGUGAAAUGGAUUACUGUUAAAAUAGACCUUUAAAAAGCCUAUGAUAGGGUGUGUUGGGAAUUUGUGAAAGGAUCUCUUAAACUGGUAGUUAUACCUAACUUCCUAAUACAGGUUAUCAUGUCGAUUAUCUCGAUGUUCACUAUGCAGGUAUUGUGGAAUGGAGUUUCAACUAGCAAAUUCAAACCUGUUAGGGGAAUUCAUCAAGGAUGUCUUCUAUCUCCAUAUCUUUUUGUGUUGUGCAUGGAAUGGUAGAGCCAUUGUUUUCAUUCGGUCAUUUCCUUUGGGGAGUAGAUUCCUAUUCGAUUAUCUCGAUAAGGACUUGCCAUUUUGCAUUUAUUUUUUUCGGAUGUCUUAGUGAUUUUUAGUAAAGUGGACUUGAAGCAUUGCAAACUUCUCAAAGACUUCCUUGAGAGAUUUUAUGAAUUUUUGAGGAACAAGGUUAAUAUUCAGAAGACCAAUGUGUUCUUUUCGGCUAGAGUCAAUGAGGAUUUAGUAGAAAAUAUUACAAAUAUACUUAGAUUCCAACAUAUCCAUGAUCUUGGACAUUAUGUGGGAGUUCUUCUUCUUCACCAAAGGUACAUUGAGAUUUAGAAUCCUCACUUAGCCUUCUUAAUGAGUAUUCAUUAUUUCUCCGUAUUACGGGACUGAUGCUUCUGUCCAUGUCUUUCCAAAAGUAAUAUUUUCAUCUUGUGCAAGGAACGACUGCUUUGAAUGUUUUGAGAAGGUUGCACAGUCAGUUCGUUAACUUUCUAGUCAGAAGUUGUCGAGCCCAAUAGAUGAAAUAGCUUGGCAUUCGCCAUUAAAAAAUGAUGAUCUAGUGUAGGACAAUCCCAUAAAAGUGAGAGUUGGCUAGAGUCAAGUUCUUCUAGAUCGUAAGGCUAUAAUCUAACUGAAGCUAAUGGUUGUAGGCGUCCUCUUCCACUAUAACUGACUUAUUCAGUCAUGAUCACCUAAAAGAUGAUGAUUAAACCAAAUGAGGAUCGAGAUAACCAGAGGUUGCAAUCCUUCAAAUCGAAUAAUCUCUUUCCUUAACUCUGUUUCUUUUUACAAUUGCAAUUUCAAUUUAUACAAUUUCAACUCGUCCUUACUUUUAAUUCUGUUCUUUUUAUUUUUUUCUCUCAAGUCAGACCUUUUUCUUGGGCCCAGAAUUUAGAGGAACAAGAAGUUGUAGCAAUCCAGUCCCUGAGGAUUUGACCCUACUUUCAUUAUACAAUUCUUUUCGUUCUUUCUUAGGGAUAGGUUAUUUUUUAUGCUUUUAACGACUCACCAGGCUAGAACAAAUGUGUUAAUGGCCAUAUCAAUAUUCGUAAAAGACAGCUGAUUCAUAAGUUGGUUGGUAUUCAACUGGCCAUAGAUCUUUCUAGUUCUAAUAGUUUGGCACAACUCGAAUUAAAGACUCUAGAGGAGUUGAAAGAUGUCCUUUAUCAUGAAGAAUUGCUUUAGAAGCAGAACUCGAAACGUGAUUGGUUGAGCGUGAGGGAUUGUAAUACUAAAUAUUUUCAUAAACAAACGAUUCAAAAAAGAAAUCAAAAUAAUAUAAUUGUCUUGCGCAAUUCAUAUGGUGAAUGAAUUUUUGAGCCCGAAGCUUUACAAUUAGAGGUUGUCGCAUUCUUUUAAAAGUUGUAUAGUGAGGUUCCUAACCCUAUAGGGAGUUUGCCUCCAAGUGGUUUUGAGUAACUUAAGACUAAAGAUAUCGAUUUUCUUGGAAGACCAGUAUGAGAAUAUGAUAUUAAAAGCGUUAUUUUUUACAUGGCCUCCCUAAAGGCACUAGGUAGUAAUGGCUUUCAUGCUUUGUUUUUCAAAAACAACGGGAUGUUAUUGGAGGGAUAAUUUGUGAUUGGGUAAGGAAGAUCUUUUAUGGUAGUACUAUAUAUUCAGAGCUAAACAAUACUAUUAUUGUUUUAAUACCUAAAGUUUCAAAUCUGAAAAAUUUUAUGCAAUUUCUUCCAAUCAAUUUCUAUUUUGUUUUAAACAAGCUGGUUAUGAAGGUGAUAACGAAUUGUUUCAAACUUGUUUUUCCCAAGAUCAUUGGCUAAGAGCAAGCAAGGUUUAUUGCAAGCAAGAAUAUUAUUGACAACGUUGUAAUAACGCAAGAAGUGUUGCAUUCCAUGAAAAGUAAGGGUACAGUGCAAUGGGUUGCCGUUAAAAGAGACCUGGAAAAAGCCUAUGAUAGGGUGUGUUGGGAAUUUGUGAAAGGAUAUCUUAAAGUGGUAGUUAUACCUAACUUCCUAAUAUAGGUUAUCAUGUCGAUUAUCUCGACGUUCACUAUGCAGGUAUUGUGGAAUGGAGUUUCGACUAACAAAUUCAAACCUGUUAGGGGAAUUAGUCAGGGAUGUCCUCUAUCUCCAUAUCUUUUUGUGUUGUGCAUGGAAUGGUGGAACCAUUGUUUUCAUUUGGUCAUUUUCUUUGGAAAGUAGAUUCCUAUUCGGUUAUCUCGAUAAGGAAUUGCCAUUUGGCAUUUAUUUUUUGUAGAUGUCUUUGUGAUUUUUAGCAAAGUGGACUUGAAGCAUUGCAAACUUCUCAAAGACUUCCUUGAGAGAUUCUGUGAACUUUUUAAGAACAAAGUUAAUAUUCAGAAGACCAAUGUAUUCUUUUCUGCCGGAGUCAAUGGGGAUUUAGUAAAAAGUAUUACAGAUAUACUCGGAUUCCAUCAUAUCCAUGAUCUUGGACAUUAUCUGGGAGUUCAUCUUCUUCACCAAAGGUACAUUGAGAUUUUUUAUAGAUAAAGUUCGGAGGAAGCUUUCUAGCUGAGAUGCCAAAAAACUCUUUUUCACUGAAAGGGUUAUUUUUGCACAGUCAGUUCUUCUUUCAAUCCCAAAUUACCUCAUGUAAUCAUUAAUGGUCCCGAAUGGUGUUUGUGACGAAAUUAAAGGAAUUGUGUGGCAAUUCAUCUAGGGAUCUUCUGGUGGUAUAAGAAAAAUAGCGUUAGUGGGAUGGGACGUUAUCUGUCAACCUAGAUCGCAUGAAGGAUUUAUCUUAAUGAUCAAAAUUCUGCCUUUAUGAUGAAGCUUGGGUUUAUUUUUGUCACCAAAAUUGAUGCUUUAUUGGUUCAGGUCAUUAGAGUGAAGUAUAAGAUAAAUGCCAGAUUGCCGAAGUGUAUUACGCGAAGUAGAAGAUCUUUUCUGUGGAAGUCCAUCUCUAAGGUAUGGCCCAUUAAUUUAUGAUAAUUUGAUAUGGUCAGUGGGUAAUGAAAAUAAUGUGUGCUGUUGGGAUAAUGCUUGGGUUCCGUAUAUGGGACCCUUAAUAAAAAUUGUUCCUGCUCAUGCUAACGUUAACUCAAAUUGCAAGCUAAGUGAGAUGGUUACGAAAAAUGCCACAUGGAACAUUGACCUUUUUCAAAUUCGAUUGACAAAAGAUGUUAUUCAGCACAUCGUUAGCAUCCUUCCACCAAUGUCUUUUACGGGUUCGGAUUCAAUCUCUUCGUCUCAUUCUACAAUAAGUAUUUUCUCUGUUAAAAGUGCGUAUUGGAUGUUGAAGGACCCUUGGAAUCUCAAAGAUGCAAUUUGGAACAUAGUGUGGAAGUUUCCUAGACCUUAGAGAGUUAGGUAGUUCAUUUGGAUAAUUCUCAAAUAGAGACUUCUGACCAAUGUCAAGAGAGUUCGAAGGAGGAUUGGUUAGGAUGAGUCAUGCUCCCUUUGUAGACAUAGGUAUGAGGAUGCAUUACAUGUGCUUAGAGACUGCCUGGUUGCAAAGGAUGUUUGGUACCAAGUUAUCCCUCUAAGUUAAUAGAGUGUUUUCUCCUCUAGCAAUUUAGCAGAAUGGUUGAUUUCAAACUUGCAUGAUCAUUCAAAUCACAACACGAGGGAUCUGAGUUGGGCUUGUUUAUUCCAAUUACUAGUGUGGCGUAUUUGAGGAAGUGUUCGGUCUUUGUUGUCGAGCUGUAGGGAAUCUUGGACGGUUUGCACCUGCUUUAGAAGCAAGGACAUGAUAGGGUCUUCACCCAAUCAAAUAAUCUCGAGAUAGUCAAAGUUAUUUGUGAUUGUCACUAAGCCAGAGCAAGUAUUUCACUUGUUAGGAGAAUUCGACAAAUUUUAUCCUAUGAAGACAAGUAGUUCGUGCGGUAUACUCCUAGAGAGAAUAAUCAGGCAGCGGAUGCAUUAGCUAUAAUGGCUUUUGCGAAUAAGGACGAGUUAUGCUUAUUUGAUGAUCCUUCUUUGAAGAUUCAAGAAAUUUUAGAAGAUGAGAGAGUAAUGAGUAGUCUAACCCCGGGUAUUUCUUUGUAAAUCUUUUGAUUUUUUCAAUUUAUUUUUUACACCAGAAUUUUUUUUAUCAUAUAAUUAAAGCUUAUAUAUAUAAUAUUUUUAUUCAUUUUAAGUGUAAUUUAUUAGAAAAUUAAAAUAUCAAUUAACUAUAAUAUUUUUUUAUAAUAAUGAGGCUAUAGUCUGAAAAAUGGUUACCAAAAAGAAAAGAGGAUGAACAAAACUAAACUUAAUUUAAAAUAUGAUUUAAACUUUGGUAAUGAGAGGGUAUCUGUAACAUGGGUCUCAUCUUAUAUUUGAUGUAUAAUUGAGUGAUUGAAGCCCUUUAUUCUAUGUUCUAUAUUCUACAUUUUAAAUGUGAUGCCAUUUGUGCAAUCAUUCAACCUUACCUUCACAUAAUUUAUUUAUAUAAAAAAUAAAAAUAUCUUUAAAAUAAUAUUUAUUCCUCCAUCAAAAUAAGGAGUCUUUAAGGUUUUGAAAGAUGAUAUCAAUCCAAUCAAAUUAGGUAUAUAAGUUGAAGUAAUUGAAUUAAACAAAAAUUGCAAUGUGGUUUUCUUUUAUAAAUAAAAUGAAAUGGAAUGCGAGUGUUUUGGGAUGAAGGGAUGGUUCCUUAAAAUUUUUCGUCACAUACAUCUCAAGUAUAAUCAGAAAUAGCGGAAAUCUUGAAAUGGGGCAUCACUUUGAAGGUGGUACUUUUGUCACUUACCCUGGAUCCGACGUGGGUGCCUGUCGUUUUACUCUUUAUUCCUUUACCCACCUUCCGUUGGUACCAAAUUACCCUUUCCUACUCAUUUUAUAAGAAGAAAGAAAUGGUCCUUACUUAUUAGUCCUAUUUAUUCUAAAUAACGAAAUGGACUGUCUUUCUUUCUUUUUUGUUAAGAAUCUGUGGCACAUUGUCAAUUUCAAGGUUUUUCUUCAAAACCUAGUUAAGGAAAAAGACGCAUUUCGAUACGUGCACCCUGCAUUUCUUUUACUACCAAAUAUUCUCCUAUGUCCGUAACUUAAUGAUACCCCUUCUCAUAAUACUAUAGAAUUAAUUAAAUCUAAAGUUGGCAUAAGCAUAUUUAUAUAAAUCCUGUUAUUGAUGCAUCCAGUUUCCAUUUGCAAUGUGGAGGUGAAAGAAACUCAACAUUGGCACAUGAGUAUUAAAUUAGGUUUUCAAAAUUGAGUAAAAAUUUGCAUAGCAUGAAGCGAUCAAAAUCUCAAAGAAUAUUGAUUAAAAAGCAAAGGCCGCGCAUGUUGACACAUUUCCUCAAACCAAUUGGCCAUUAAAUUGAAGUCCUUUAACUAGGUGAACUCCAGCUGUCUCUCUGCAAACUCACAACUCUGACACAAACAGGAAAUAAUUUUUUAGUUACUAUCAAUUUGGAAAACAAUGGAAGGAAAAGGGUUAAACAGCUACGGUUAUUUCCAUUUACUCAAAGGGUUCAAGUCGAACACAACAAAGCUUGAAGUUUGGAGGCAUUGGGUUCCGUUUAGAUUUUAAACAUCAACCUUUUCGAACACACCUAAAUUUGUUUUAACUUAUUACUUAGCCCAAGGAGGUUGAGUAUGGUUUACGCAAAAUAGCUCGUCCUUAUUCUUUUCCCUCUUUAACAACCCUUAUUCUAUAAAGAAGUUACACUUUCCCUCCUCAAAUACCCGCCUCUAUCACACGCAUAACAAUUUCAACUUUUCUUUCUCUUUUCUUCUUCUUGUUCUUGUUUCCCUUGUUGAUAUUCUCUGUUUACUUUGAGGGGCUAGUAUAAGAAGGCAAUGUGGGAUGGUGGGGUUGUAGGCUCGAUUUGGAGUUUGAAGUCUACCUCUCUCCCAGUACCCCAACUCUUGUUGUUGGUUUUCAGGUGCUUUUGGGACUAAUUGGUUGCCUGUUUUUGAAGAUGAUGGGGAAGCUUAAUUUUGUAAUCAACGGUGUGCUUAGAUUGCCUCAUGGAUUCCGUUUCCAUCCUACUGAUGAAGAGUUAGUCGUUCAGUACUUGGGAAGAAAGGUGCUUGCUUGGCCCUUACCUGCCUCUAUCAUACCCGAAGUUAUGAUUACAAAGCAGAUCCUUGGGACUUGCCAGGUUGGUUACCUUAAUUACACUUUCACACCUCACUCUUUCAAAUUUGGUUCCUUCUACUAUAUAACAUUAUAAAAAGCAAGUAGCUUGUUCUAGUUUGUUCUAUAGCUUUGGAAUUGACUUCUUGUAUCAAUUAUGGAAACAACCUUCUACAAUAGCUCUGAAUGUAACUAACAACUGUUAAACAAUUAGAAGCCUUUAGGACAAAAUUAAAGACAUAAUUAGAUGGCCUGAUACAUUGGGGUCUAUGUUGUGUGUAUUAUCAAUCAGGUCAUUUGGAGCAAGAGAGGUACUUCUUUAGCACAAGAGAAGCCAAGUAUCCCAAUGGGAACAGAUCUAACAGAGCCACGUUUUCAGGACAUUAGAAAGCCACAGGAAUUGACAAACAAAUUUUAAGUUGUAGGGGCAAUCAAUAGUGGGUAUGAAGAAAACUCUUGUUUUCUUUAGAGGAAAGCCCCCACAAGGAACUAGGACCGAUUGGAUCAUGCAUGAAUAUCGCCUUGUUACCGCUGACACCUACAAUGCCCCACAUAAGAAGAACCAAACUCAG